CGGGUGAGUAACGCGUGGGUAACCUGCCUUGUACAGGGGGAUAACAGUUGGAAACGGCUGCUGAUACCGCAUAAGCGCACAGCAUCGCAUGAUGCAGUGUGAAAAACUCCGGUGGUAUAAGAUGGACCCGCGUUGGAUUAGCUAGUUGGUGAGGUAACGGCCCACCAAGGCGACGAUCCAUAGCCGACCUGAGAGGGUGACCGGCCACAUUGGGACUGAGACACGGCCCAA
rnacentral:rRNA from 1 species